GCCCAAGUGGUGGAAUGGUAGACACGCAAGCUUGAGGGGCUUGUGGGAGCAAUCCUGUGCUGGUUCAAGUCCAGUCUUGGGCA
rnacentral:tRNA from 1 species